AGUUUGAUCAUGGCUCAGGACGAACGCUGGCGGCGUGCUUAACACAUGCAAGUCGGGCGGAAAGGCCCUUCGGGGUACUCGAGCGGCGAACGGGUGAGUAACACGUGAGUAAUCUGCCCCAGGCUCUGGGAUAGCCACCGGAAACGGUGAUUAAUACCGGAUACGACAACCGAUUGCAUGAUCUGGUUGUGGAAAGUUUUUCGGCCUGGGAUGUGCUCGCGGCCUAUCUGCUUGUUGGUGAGGUAAUGGCUCACCAAGGCUUCGACGGGUAGCCGGCCUGAGAGGGUGACCGGCCACACUGGGACUGAGACACGGCCCAGACUCCUACGGGAGGCAGCAGUGGGGAAUAUUGGACAAUGGGCGGAAGCCUGAUCCAGCAACGCCGCGUGAGGGAUGACGGCCUUCGGGUUGUAAACCUCUUUCAGCACAGACGAAGCGCAAGUGACGGUAUGUGCAGAAGAAGGACCGGCCAACUACGUGCCAGCAGCCGCGGUAAUACGUAGGGUCCGAGCGUUGUCCGGAAUUAUUGGGCGUAAAGGGCUCGUAGGCGGUCUGUCGCGUCGGGAGUGAAAACCAGGUGCUUAACACCUGGCCUGCUUUCGAUACGGGCAGACUAGAGGUACUCAGGGGAGAAUGGAAUUCCUGGUGUAGCGGUGAAAUGCGCAGAUAUCANGAGGAACACCGGUGGCGAAGGCGGUUCUCUGGGAGUAUCCUGACGCUGAGGAGCGAAAGUGUGGGGAGCGAACAGGAUUAGAUACCCUGGUAGUCCACACCGUAAACGUUGGGCGCUAGGUGUGGGAUCCAUUCCACGGGUUCCGUGCCGCAGCUAACGCAUUAAGCGCCCCGCCUGGGGAGUACGGCCGCAAGGCUAAAACUCAAAGNAAUUGACGGA
rnacentral:rRNA from 1 species